GAUCCGGUAGCUCAGUUGGCAGAGCAAUUGCCUUUUAAGCAAUGGGUCCGGGGUUCGAAUCCCCGCCGGGUCACCA
rnacentral:tRNA from 1 species